ACACUUCACACAUUUGCUCGUUAUUCCAAAAAUACUAAUCUACAUAACAACUGUACAUGGUUCAAUAACUUGUUCAGUGAAACUGAUAAUAAGUACCUAGUAUAUAAUAAUACCCGUCGUUUUCACGAAAAAAAUAUCAUUUCACUUAAAAAUAAUACAAGUCUGAAUGUAAAGAAAUUGUGUGUAAAAAAACUGUAAAUGGAGUUAUAUCCCUAAUAAGACGUAUAAAUUACGCCUUAUUUAAACUGAGCAUUUCAAGAUACAACGUGAAGUAACCAGAAGUAAAAAGUAAGAACGAGUCUUUGGCACAGAUCUUAUAUAAUUGAUAUUUUACAUAAAUUGUCACAAUGUAGGAUGGGUAUCAUUGAAUAGUUUUAAACUUAUUCCAUAAUCAAGAUAUAAACAUAAAAUAAAUCUGUCUAUUUACUAAUUAAAACAAAAUCCUGUACACAACACAAACAUAAAUACUGAUGUGAGCUUCAUGCUUUACCUAAUAAGAAAAUAUUUUAACAUAAUGAGAAUUUAAUAUUAAACAAUACAAUAAAAUAUAAACAUACGUUAACAUACAUUUUGGAUAACACAAUUGAAUAUUCACAAUGUUUUUAUAUUUGUAUAAAUUGAAGCCGGUUCACAGCUCGGUGCUCAUUUCAGCCGUGGCCGAAGUUUUGGCGCCGGCCGGCGGCGGCCCGUCCGCGCCCGAGCCCCCCGCCGCCUCGCUCGAAGAAUUCAGUUGCUCUGCAGCCUGUUUUCAUGGAAAGUCAUAUUACCAGAGCGAAUAGUCCAAUUGUAGGAAUGAUGUUAAACUGUAAAUUAAUAAAAUUAGAAAAUA